AUUGAACGCUGGCGGCAUGCCUUACACAUGCAAGUCGAACGGUAACAGGUUAAGCUGACGAGUGGCGAACGGGUGAGUAAUGUAUCGGAACGUGCCCAGUCGUGGGGGAUAACUGCUCGAAAGAGCAGCUAAUACCGCAUACGACCUGAGGGUGAAAGCGGGGGAUCGCAAGGCCUCGCGCGAUUGGAGCGGCCGAUAUCAGAUUAGGUAGUUGGUGAGGUAAAGGCUCACCAAGCCGACGAUCUGUAGCUGGUCUGAGAGGACGACCAGCCACACUGGGACUGAGACACGGCCCAGACUCCUACGGGAGGCAGCAGUGGGGAAUUUUGGACAAUGGGCGCAAGCCUGAUCCAGCCAUGCCGCGUGCGGGAAGAAGGCCUUCGGGUUGUAAACCGCUUUUGUCAGGGAAGAAAAGGUUCUGGCUAAUACCUGGGACUCAUGACGGUACCUGAAGAAUAAGCACCGGCUAACUACGUG
rnacentral:rRNA from 1 species